rnacentral:rRNA from 1 species
CCUACGGGUGGCACCAGUAGGGAAUCUUCGGCAAUGGACGAAAGUCUGGCCGAGCAACGCCGCGUGAGUGAAGAAGGUUUUCGGAUCGUAAAACUCUGUUGUUAGAGAAGAACAAGUAGGAGAGUAACUGCUCUUACCUUGACGGUAUCCAACCAGAAAGCCACGGCUAACUACGUGCCAGCAGCCGCGGUAAUACGUAGGUGGCAAGCGUUGUCCGGAUUUAUUGGGCGUAAAGCGAGCGCAGGCGGUCUUUUAAGUCUGAUGUGAAAGCCCUCGGCUCAACCGAGGAAGGUCAUUGGAAACUGGAGGACUUGAGUGCAGAAGAGGAGAGUGGAAUUCCAUGUGUAGUGGUGAAAUGCAUAGAUAUAUGGAGGAACACCAGUGGCGAAGGCGACUCUCUGGUCUGUAACUGACGCUGAGGUUCGAAAGCGUGGGGAGCAAACAGGAUUAGAUACCCUUGUAGUC